rnacentral:rRNA from 1 species
CCUACGGGCGGCAGCAGUGGGGAAUAUUGGACAAUGGGGGGAACCCUGAUCCAGCCAUGCCGCGUGUGUGAAGAAGGCCCUCGGGUUGUAAAGCACUUUCAGUGAGGAAGAACGCCUGGUGGUUAAUACCCAUCAGGAAAGACAUCACUCACAGAAGAAGCACCGGCUAACUCCGUGCCAGCAGCCGCGGUAAUACGGAGGGUGCGAGCGUUAAUCGGAAUUACUGGGCGUAAAGCGCGCGUAGGUGGCUUGAUAAGCCGGUUGUGAAAGCCCCGGGCUCAACCUGGGAACGGCAUCCGGAACUGUCAAGCUAGAGUGCAGGAGAGGAAGGUAGAAUUCCCGGUGUAGCGGUGAAAUGCGUAGAGAUCGGGAGGAAUCCCAGUGGCGAAGGCGGCCUUCUGGACUGACACUGACACUGAGGUGCGAAAGCGUGGGUAGCAAACAGGAUUAGAUACCCGAGUAGUC